CGCGCAAACGGCGCUGAGGCCACGCCCCGCGGCUGGCACCUGACACCGGGCAGCCGGGGAUUGUUGCGUCUGCUCCCCGACCUGGGAGAGUGUCGCUUGGCGGACUCUCAGCUUCCCGCGGGUCUCCGGGAAGAUGGUGGUGUCCUGCGCGCGGCGCGCAGCCCAUCCCUGCUGUCUGCAGAAGCGCUUUUCCUUUUUAUGUUGCUUUAAGAUCUCUUUGAUGGCCGCAGUGCUCCUGAUACCCAAGCCCUCUGCCAAUGCUUCAGCGACCAUUCCUGUGACGUUGUUGAACGUGGCGGCUGUCUGUACCGAGGUUGUCAACGCUACCACGGCAGCAGUAGCAGCGGCGGCGGAUGCUGCGAUAGCUGCAAUAAUGGCUGCUGUUAUUCCAAAGUCUCGUUUAUGUCGAAGCAGCACCGGCAGGUUGUCGGGGUUCACCUGUACUGGCAUCGGGAUAUACGUCGGUAUCUUGGCUAUUACUGCCGAGUCUCCCACCGUGGCGUUCCAACAUUCUGAUAGCAGACAAUUCUGGGACUCACAAGAGAGACUAGAUGACUUGUUAAUAGUAGAAGCAUUAAAAACUAUGAAGAGAAAGGGAGCUCUAACACAGACGGGCGUUGAUGCCUGUGAUCCUCCUCCAAGAUUCGAGUUUAUGAAGCCAAAUGCUACUAAAUCCAGUUAUAAUCCUGGGGACGUAGUAUACUUUGUUUGUCGACUAGGAUACAAGCCUGUUGUACCUCCUCGUCCCAUGUCUUCCGUUUGUCAGGCUAAUAACAUGUGGACACCUCUUCAGGAGGCUUGUACAGCAAAACAAUGUCAGCAUCCAGGAGAACCCGUAAAUGGCCAGUUAGUCGCUGUGAAUGGAUCUUUUGCCUUUGGUUCGCAGAUUCACUAUUCUUGUAAUGAGGGUUAUCGGCUAGUUGGACAAAGAAUUCUAUACUGUGAAAUUUCUACUGCUGAUGAAAGAAAAGUGACUUGGAGUGAUGAUCCCCCACUAUGUAUAAGGAUAAUGUGUCCACCACCUGGAAAAAUACCAAAUGGAAAAUAUACCGGUAGUGAGAAGGAUGAAUUUGAAUAUAAUGAAGUGGUAAUUUACAGUUGUAAUCCUUCAAAUGGACCAGAUGAAUAUUCACUUGUUGGAGAGAGUAAUCUUAUUUGUACUGGCAAUGGUGUAUGGAGUAGUAACCCUCCUGAGUGUAAAGUCGUCAAAUGUCCAUUUCCAAACCCUGAAAAUGGAAGACUGUUAUCAGGAUUCAGAAAAAAAUACUACUACAAAGCAACAGUCACAUUUGAAUGCAACCCGGGUUAUUACCAUGAGGGUGAGAACACAGCAGUCUGUGGUAGUAACAGUACUUGGGAGCCUGCGAAGCCAACGUGUCUUAAAGUGCUGAUUGCUUCCAGUACCAGUCCUCCGAUUUUGAACCAUACAGUGCUGAUUCCUUCCAGUACCAGUCCUCCGAUUUUGAACCAUACAGGUUUAGUAACUUUCUGCUUAUAUUUUUCAAAAAUCAAGUCUGAUCAAGCUGAUCAAGUCUACAUUAUUUUUUUUUCCAGUGCUGAUUCCUUCCAGUACCAGUCCUCCGAUUUUGAACCAUACAGAACCCGAGUCUCCUCAUACGACUAUGCCUCCGAGUUCAACAACUACACCUCCAGGACCUCGCCCAAACCCUGGUGAUGACACAAACGAUGAUGGCCCUAAGACUUUAGGUGGAGGCAUCAUUGCGGUGAUCGUUGUUUCUGUUCUUGCUGUUGUUGUGGUAGUUGGCGGCUUCCUGUGUUAUCGACACAAGAAGAAAGGGUUGAAGUAAAACGGUUGGGGUUGCUGACAGGGAGAUCACAAGGAUGCAGAGAGAUAAAGGGAAGCAGGCUCGCCGCUGAGCAGAGAGCCCGAUGCAGGGCUCGAUCCCAGAACCCUGAGAUCAUGACCUGAGCGGAAGGCAGAGGCUUAACCCACUGAGCCACCCAGGCGUCCCUCGAAGUAGCUUCUUGCACAAAUUUCCUGUUUCAAGUUCCUAAUUGAGAAUCAGAAAAGUUGUCAUUUAUGAUUCUGUCAGCUGUGCGUCCAUUUUUCCUGUCAUUGAUUUUACACCACUUAUUAUGCUGCUCUGCUGCCUUUUGGUUUGAUGUGACUGUUUUAUUCAGCCCUUUCCCCUUCCUCUGUUCAGCACAUACCAAACUGGUGAGAGCCAUAGAGAAGUAAAAUUUAAUUCUCUAUGAGAAUUAGAGAUGAGAGAACGGUUUGCUUUUAUCAUGAAAAGGUAUUGGCUUUGUGUGUUUCUUUUCAGAGAUGUCCUUUCUAGAAUAGAAAAUAGUCAAUGAAUAUUUAGAUGUCAGUACUCUGAACAUAUGUUGGCAGUAAACAUGAAAGAGGACACUGAGAUUCCUAUGCCCUUCGCUAAAUUAUUGAUGUUUUUGUACCAUUCCUGUUUUAAAUAACAGGUCCUGGCAGGCAUUUACUUUGACAUAGGCUCCAACUGAGUAAUCUCCCCGUUGUCCUUUUAUCAGAUUGCCAGGCUUCCUUGACCUCCUAAUAGCUAUGAUUCCAAAAGUGCAGGAAUUUUUUAGCCCAGUGGGAAGAAAUAGCAUCUGUACAUUUUAAGUGCAGGGAGGAAAAUGACCCUUUCUUAGAAACCAAAAUAUAUUUUACUUAAUUUUGUAGGAAAAAAAGCAUUUUAUUUCAGAUUGUAAAUAUGGAAUUUAAAGGCAUUUACCUGUUUUCCGUGAACAGGAUAUCUGUAGUGUAUGAAAGAGAAACCAACAGAAAAAGUCCUUAGAUUUUGAAAAACUAUGAAUUGCCUUGCUUUAGACCCUCUGACUCCAUCUACCUUGUGUUGUUGAAUGAAAGGAACUGGAAGCCGUCCUCUCUCUGUGCCAGAAUGUGUGUCUCCACGGCCGGGAAGAGAGAGAGACGUUAUCCCAUCACUUAUAUUGUGAGGUGCUACCCCACCUUACAGUCAGGAGUCUGGGAGCAGACUCUACAGAGGCCAAUAGGAAAGGCAGUUUCUCGGCAAAAGCAGAGUGCUGUCUGGGGUCAGACGAGCACAGGGGAACACCCACCAUUCCAACCGGAAGUGGCAGGACGCGCCUCCCCAGUCCUGUGCACCUUGGUCUCUCAGAAUUCCUUUGAGGCUAAGGCCAACCAGGAAGGUAGAUUUCAGUCUGUUGUGAGUUUCAGGGUGUCUGCAAACAUUUGAAGGUCAUAUAAUGGAGGCUGAAGGUCAUAUAAGACAUCUGUGAUCAAUAAUCCAAGGUUAGAUGUUACCAUCUUUAAACUGCUUCAUCGUUCUAUCUAAUAAGUGUUACCUUAAAAUUUAGCUGAGUCCUUUUUAUCUCUCUCGGAUUCUGUUUAAAAUUCUGUGUGAAGAAAAGGAUUCCACCACCACACAAACAAAAGAAGUAUCGACUCCAAAAAGUAUAAAAAGAUGUCAAUCUUGGAGAAUUCACUAACUGUGCUAACUCACAAUAUAAAAGGGCUCACAGUAGUCCCCCGGAAAUUGCUCGAACACAAGUACUUUUAUGACCGUGGUGGCUCAUGGGAUAGCCUCCCCCAGAAAGAAGUACUAGGGCAUCCCAAACUGACAGGGUUGCUCUUAGGUUGGGUCAACAUCACUGAAGGGUUCGCUGUGACUUGCAGACUGGUGAACCACUGAGUCAUCCAUGGGUGGUUUUCAUCUGUCCAUUCUAGUUAUUUUACUAAGGCAGGGACUAGACUUGCGUUUUCCAGUGUAAUAGUCCAUAGUCUGUGUGGUUACUAAGGACUUUGCAGUAACUAGUCCUGUGUCAGUUGUCCUGUAAGUGUAAAAUACACACCAGACUUUAAGACCUAGUACAAAAAAUGUAAAAUAACAUGUAUGUUGGGUUAAGUAAAACACAUUAAAAAUAACAUUAAUAGCCUCUUUUACUUUUUUUAAAUAUGGCGUCCAGAACAUGUAAAGUUAGCCAGGUCACUCAUAGUAUAUUUCUUUGGACAGCACUGGGCUAGAAUAAUACAUUUUAGAAAGAUGAGUAUUGUUACCAUGAAAUUUUGAUGUUAUCCGUAAUUAUUCAGGAGAAUCUCUUAGAGAAACAUAUGAUCUCCUUGAUAGUGAGGGCUAAAUGGGGCAUUAUUGAACUUAAAGGCUGGUGGAAUCAUUACCUUUUCAAAAGUUUCAUCUCAGAGCCAGAUUUAAAAUUUCAGUAUUAGGAAAAUAAGUGUUUCUCUCCAGUCUUUUCCAGUAGCCCAUUUUAAUUGAAAUGAGAAAAUAUUUAGUAAGUACUUUGUAGCAUACCACUCUAUUGUUUUGAAAUAAAAAAAUAUAUAACAGGGAUAGAAGGGUUUCUAGAGUGAAACUAGUUAUACAUUUGAAAUUAUUUUUUAGAAAUCAUUUAUUUCCUAGUUCAUGUACUCCUACUUUUAUUUUUCUAAUUGUCAAUUUUCUAAAUAGACUUUGGAAUUGAAUUUAUGUACUUAAUUAUGUUUAUCUGUGAUACUUUUUACCUCGCCUUAUAGGGAAAGAGAACCUGGGGCCGAAUACCAUGCUUAUCAGGUUAAAUCAACUAUGCGAGCCGAUCACUAAAAGGUUUCUACACACUGGUAAAUCCUUUGAGAUCUACAGUAAAUUCACACAGCUUUAUGGAAAACAGUACAAAUGUUCCUCAAAAGAUUAAGAACAGAGAAUCAUUGGAUGAUCCAACAGUUCCACUCAUGGGUAUAUAUCCAAAGGAAACAAAAUAACUGUACAGCACUCUUUUCACUGCAGCAUUAUUUAUAAGAGCCCCAACGCAGAAACAACCACGGAGGGAGGCAUUCUAACAGAAAACAUGCUACGCAAAUAUGGCGGCAUACUAUUCAGCCAUAGAAAAGAAGGAAAUCUUGAUGUUGAGGGCAGAAUAUAUGGACCCUCCAGGCAUUUUGCUAAGUGAAGUAAAAGUGAAACAGAAGGACACAUACUGUAGGAUUUUACUUGUUGUAGAAUCUAAAAACAACAACAAAAAAAAAUGGGAAAAACUCCUAGAAACCCGAUUGGUGGUUGCUCCGCGAGGGGUGGUGAGCAGAAUUGGGUGAAGAACGUCAAAGGGGACAAACAUCCAGUUUUAAAAUUAGCAAAUACUGUGAUAGAAUUAACGUGUGGCCUGGUGACUUUCAGCAGUGCUGCUAUAUUGUAUAUUAGCAAGCUGUUAAGAGUAGAUCUUAAAAGUCCUGAUCAGGAAGACAAACAUUUUUGUAAUUGUGGUGCUAUCAGCUAAAUUCUGUGGUGAGCAUUUCACAGCAUAUCUUAUCAGUUCAGGCUGUACACACCUUCAAUGUAUACCAUGUUACAUGUCAGUUACGUCAGUAAAACCAGGAGGGGUAAAAAAGGGUUCUAUAAAAAUCAUUGUCUAGGUUUUUUUUUUUCACUCAGAUAAGUGCAGUCGUUAAGCCAUAAUGCUAGCAUUUUAAUGUGGUUUGAAUGCUUUGAUGCUGCUUUGAACAGUGUAUGAAUAUGGGAAUGAACUUCUGGCCUGUUUUCCCUUAAAUAACAUCUGCAUUUAUAGGACAACUCAACACAGUAUCCCUGGUAGUAUUUAGGUGGGAAGAUAAGUUUUUUAAAUGAAAUACCCAAAUUUAGAGAAUUGUGCAAGAUAAAUUACAUAUUAUUUGUAAAGAAAGUGAUUUUGAAAUCCUUUUUGUUCAAAGAUUGAGAAGUCUUGAUUCACUCUUUCAACAACUCUUAAGAUGUGUUUUAUGUAUUGUUCUGUGUAAACAGCCUUACAAAUAUGUGUAUUCUACUUCGGCCCUUAACAUUAAAAAUGGGAACACUGAAAAUUGGGAUUUCGAGCAAGUCUGACUUCCUUAACUAAGAAUAUUAUUGGAAAAUACUCUGAAUGGGGGAGAAUUCUAUAUAUACAUGUUUUUAACUAUUUGUAAUUUUCAUGGUGAUUUAAGGAAGUUAUAACAUGUACAGACCUGUGCUUCACUUUUUCAAGCAUCGGCAGUCUGAGACAUGCAUGAGGGAUCAGAUCCGUUGCAAACUCCUGUACAACAUCAGGGAUCCAGCGCUCACUUAGCAAGAAAGCCAGCUGGUGCCAGAGGGAACACUGUGGCCUUGCAGUUUCCUCUAAGAGGAUUCUGCUCUUUAGGAAAAUUUGAUUCCACUCUAAAUUCCGGCAGGGGGCCCUCUUCUCCCGGUACUUGAAUGCAGAGAGGUCUUACUUUAGACAAGGCUGUGUAAAAGGGGUGAGGUUUGCAGGAACGUGGCCAUCGGAGAAGCUCAGGUUCUCUCAAAAAGCAGAGUAAAGACUAAGGUGCGCGUUUCAGAGGAGACUGCCUGCUGUUGGUUGUGCAGAGGGACAGAAAGAGCCAGCAGCUGAGGUGGCAGCGGAUGCUUGGUUGGGACAGACUGUGGCCCCUGCGUCCUCACCCCAGGCAGGGUCUCCUUAAGAGAAGCCCAGAGGGGCAGAGGAGGGACGGCCACUCGAACUCACAUGACACUUGUAUGAGUUUCAUCUUGCACUUGGAUGGUUAGUAGGGCCCGUUCGGCAAAGAAGCAUUGCCCCGAGAAGGAUAAGGUUGGGAAAACAGCGCAGAGCAGCUAAGUCCUGUCUGUAGAUGAAGGAUGUCUGUGGUGCACUGUCCGUGUUCCUUCCCUCUGGGAUCCGCCAGCUGGAGCAAAAAGAAACGGGAAUUCUGAAAUCAGUGCGGAGGGGAAGCCGGACCCUCCCCAGCAGUACCCUGCCCAUUGCCGCCUACUCUUCGGGGUGGGGGGGUAGCACUGCCUCAAAGCAAGGGAUGGCUGGGCCCUUUAACGGGCCGAACUGAAUCUUUUCAACCAAAGAUUGUUAUGCUUUCAAAAAUAAAUAGACUUGUACAGUAGUUUCUGCUUCAGAUUUAAUUUUCAUUUUAGUAGAUUUAUAUGGAAAUUGUUAUAUAUGUGUAAAAAUAAAUUACGCUCUUUGUCAGGCAACUUGUCAAUCACCUAACAUAAGGGGAAAACAGAAAGUUUCUGUAAUGACAUAAAAACGUGUAUGUAAAUUUACAAGUUUGCUGAAACUGUAAGAAUGUAUUUGCAGUGAAAUGAGACGUCCCAUGUGUCGGAUCUUUAUUGCUCAUUGUUUUGAAAUCUGGAUCUUCAAAUGCUGCAAAAAAUAAAGUGUAGAUUGGAGACUU